GAUGAACGCUGGCGGCGUGCCUAAUACAUGCAAGUCGAGCGAACGGACGAGAAGCUUGCUUUUCUGAUGUUAGCGGCGGACGGGUGAGUAACACGUGGAUAACCUACCUAUAAGACUGGGAUAACUUCGGGAAACCGGAGCUAAUACCGGAUAAUAUUUUGAACCGCAUGGUUCAAAAGUGAAAGACGGUCUUGCUGUCACUUAUAGAUGGAUCCGCGCUGCAUUAGCUAGUUGGUAAGGUAACGACUUACCAAGGCAACGAUGCAUAGCCGACCUGAGAGGGUGAUCGGCCACACUGGAACUGAGACACGGUCCAGACUCCUACGGGAGGCAGCAGUAGGGAAUCUUCCGCAAUGGGCGAAAGCCUGACGGAGCAACGCCGCGUGAGUGAUGAAGGUCUUCGGAUCGUAAAACUCUGUUAUUAGGGAAGAACAUAUGUGUAAGUAACUGUGCACAUCUUGACGGUACCUAAUCAGAAAGCCACGGCUAACUACGUG
rnacentral:rRNA from 1 species